rnacentral:lncRNA from 10 species
GAGAACUUCAGGCCACUCACAUUAAUGGCACUGAAAGGCAUUGGGAAGACAAUGAAGAAAAAGCAGAGACAUUCCAUAACCUCAUAGAGCUUACAGUGUCAUGGGAAGCCAAGUAGCAAGAUGUUAUAUUCUGUAUGUGAUGACCACAAUUGCUGCAGCCAUCUCAGGAUCAUGAAGGCAAUCAGCCCAAGAGGACAAGAUAACAUGUAAAGUGGCACAGCACAAAGACAGAAGGAACACAGGCCUUGCAAGACGUCAUUAAGCCUGUAAAUUAAUCUACCCUAAACAAUGCCUCUGGCUUAUUUUUAUGUGAAAUAAAAGCAUCCUAAUUAGUUUACAACAUAUAGAAAGUUUCUGA